AUCCGCUUAUUGAUAAGUACUUUAGGUAUUCCUCCAGUGGCCAAAGUCGCUUACAAAUUAUGAAGUUGAACCAUUUGGAAUGAAUAUAAGAGAAUUGCCCUGGGCUCCUCCUACUCCAGAGAGGAAAUCUCACCCAGAGCCAUCAUGCCACUUCCCCAUCAUCUGUGGUCUGCUUGGUUAAGCUAAUGCUGCAGGAGUCCUGGUCCACUGGGAGGAAUCAAGCUGACUCUUGGCAUGAGGCCUUCCCAGGGUUGAAAGGAGCACCACCAUGGCCUCUCUGGAUGAUCCAGGGGAAGUGAGGGAGGGCUUCCUCUGCCCUCUAUGCCUGAAGGACCUGCAGUCUUUCUAUCAACUUCAGUCACAUUAUGAGGAAGAGCACUUGGGGGAAGACCGUGAUGUCAAAGGGCAAAUUAAAAGUCUUGUCCAGAAGGCUAAGAAAGCAAAGAACAAGUUAUUGAAACGAGAAGGGGAUGAUCGAGCAGAAUCAGGGACCCAAGGAUAUGAGUCUUUCAGCUAUGGAGGGGUUGAUCCUUACAUGUGGGAACCUCAGGAGCUUGGUGCUGUGAGAAGCCAUCUUUCUGAUUUCAAAAAACACCGAGCCGCCAGAAUUGACCACUAUGUUGUUGAAGUCAAUAAAUUAAUAAUCAGGUUAGAGAAGCUCACUGCGUUUGACAGAACAAAUACUGAGUCUGCAAAGAUUCGAGCAAUAGAAAAGUCCGUGGUGCCUUGGGUCAAUGACCAGGAUGUCCCUUUCUGUCCAGACUGUGGGAGUAAGUUCAGCAUCCGAAACCGCCGCCACCACUGCCGUCUCUGCGGGUCUAUCAUGUGCAAGAAGUGUAUGGAGCUCAUUAGCCUUCCCUUUGCAAGCAAGCUCACCAGUGCCAGCAAGGACUCCCUGAGUGCCCACACCAGCCCCAGCCAGUCACCCAAUAGCGUCCAUGGCUCCCGCCGCGGCAGCAUCAGCAGCAUGAGCAGUGUGAGCUCUGUCCUGGACGAGAAGGAUGAUGACCGGAUCCGCUGCUGUACACACUGCAAGGACACGCUGCUCAAGAGAGAGCAGCAGAUUGACGAGAAGGAGCAUACACCCGACAUUGUGAAGCUCUAUGAGAAAUUACGACUUUGCAUGGAGAAAGUUGACCAGAAAGCCCCAGAAUACAUCAAGAUGGCAGCAUCAUUAAAUGCUGGGGAGACAACGUAUAGUCUGGAACAUGCCAAUGACCUCCGAGUGGAAGUACAGAAAGUAUAUGAGCUAAUAGACACUUUAAGUAAGAAGAUCUUAACCUUAGGCUUGAACCAGGACCCUCCACCACAUCCAAACACUUUGCGGCUACAGAGGAUGAUCAGAUACUCAGCUACAUUUUUUGUGCAGGAAAAGUUGCUUGGUUUGAUGUCACUGCCAACCAAAGAACAGUUUGAGGAACUGAAAAAGAACAGGAAGGAGGAAAUGGAGAGGAAGAAGGCCGUGGAGAGACAAGCUGCCCUGGAGUCCCACCGAAGGCUUGAGGAAAGACAGAGUGGCCUGGCCUGUCGAGCAGCCAAUGGGGAGGUGGUAUCUCUCCACAGGGGCCAUGCCCCUUUGAGAAAGGCUGAGGGCUGGCUCCCCCUGUCAGGAGGUCAAGGACAGAGUGAAGACUCGGAUCCCCUCCUCCAGCAGAUCCACAACAUCACAUCGUUUAUCAGGCAGGCCAAGGCCGCGGGUCGCACAGAUGAAGUGCACACGUUGCAGGAGAACCUGCGGCAGCUACAGGAUGUGUAUGACCAGCAGCAGACAGAGAAAGCCAUUGAGCUGUCCCGGAAGCAGGCCGAGGAAGAAGACCUGCAACGGGAACAGCUGCAGAUGCUCUGUGAACGCGAGUGGGAACGGGAGAGGGGGCAGUUCCGGGCGGCAUCUCUGCACACACGGACUCGGUCCCUGGACUUCCGAGAAAUCAGGCCUUUUCAGCUACAGGCUAGCAGAGAGCCUCGCACUCACCUUGCUUAUGCUUUGGAUCUGGGCUUUUCUCCAGUUCAAAGUAGCACAGCUCCUAAGACCCCUUCACCAUGCUCAGCUCAAGAACCUGUUCAAGUACGGUCUGGGCCCCCAGUCCUUGGCCAGGAAUUCUUACUCCAGAGCAGCAUGUCCCAGCAAGAUGAGGUGCCCUCCCUAAACCCCUUUGAUGAGGAAGACUUCUCCAGCCCCACAGAAGAGGCCACUACUAACCCUCCUGCCACAGAGGUCUCCUCUGGCCCUUCAGCCUGCAUCCCCAAAGUGUACAAUCCUUUUGAGGAAGAGGAGGAGGCAGGGGCAGUAGCAGAGAAGCCCUUCACUCACCCAGACCGUCCAGUGCCCAACCCCUUUGAUGAGGAAGAUGAACAUCCCCACCCGAGGUCCUCAAGCCCUCUGGUUCCUGGCAACCCCUUUGAGGAGCCCACCUGUACCAACCCCUUCGAGGUGGACAGUGACAGUGGGCCAGAAGCUGAGGAGCUCAUAGAGGAGGAGCUCCUCCUUCAGCAGAUUGAUAACAUCAAGGCGUACAUCUUCGAUGCCAAACAAAGUGGCCGGCUGGAUGAGGUGGAGGUGCUGACAGAGAACCUGCGGGAGCUCAAGCGCACUCUGGCCAAACAGAAGCGGGGCACUGACUGACCAGCAGUAGGGGCCAGUAGAGCCGGAGAGUGGCAGGGUGAGAAUUCAGAUGCACACAGGUUAGGGGCAGGAGGAUGCAGUUUUGUGCUGUGCACUUUGAGGUAUUUCCACUACAGAUAAAAAAUAAAAUGGGAACUAGCACAGGAAUAAUCAGCACCCAUUUGCUGUUUAUCCUGUUGUUUUUUUUUUUUUUUUUCUGUAAGGGUUUUUCCCCUUUGUGAAGGGACUUUACAUUUUUUACUACCGAGAUAUAACUAAAUGUAGCUCUGUUGGGCCCUGGGCAGUAAGGGCUGCCAUGCAUCUCUUGGGUCCAUUUGCUACUGCCUAGUCUUGGUCCUUAAUGCAGUAUUAUAGGACAGCUGCCUUCCUUUAGCCAAGACAAAGAUGGAUCCCCUGGAACCAUAUUUGGCUCUGGCAGAAGUCCAUCCCCCCAGGCUAUGGGUUCCAUUUCACUAGGGGCCUCCUCUGCCCUGCUCGGAAGGGAAGAGUUUAGUAGACCCAGGAGAGCCCAGUACCUCUUCUUAAGAGAGAUAAUGAGUGGAUGCCUCACCAAGGUCUGUGUCUCUCUGUUUAAGUUCUAGUUUGUCUCUUCCUACAGUCCUUCAAGGUAAUUAAGCUCCAGGACAGGGGUAUCCAUGUGAUCUGAUCAUGUGCUUUUUAGAAAAUAGGAGUGGUGGGCGGCGCCUGUGGCUCAAGGAGUAGGGCGCCGGUCCCAUAUGCCAGAGGUGGAGGGUUCAAACCCAGCCCCGGCCAAAAACCAAAAAAAAAAAAAAAAGAAAAUAGGAGUGGUUAACUUUUUGGUUGAUGUUAGUAUUAUUUGGGAGAAGAGUUUCUCCAAGCUUGCUCUGAUGAUACAAUUAUCUGUCUCCAGAGAAACCUUCUAGAGCUUUGGCAAAAUUACUCUUAUCUGGGCCUUUUAAAAAAUGUAGGAAUUGGUGAUCAGGAAGCUUUUGUGGAACAUCUUUCCAGGAGAAGAGAAGCUUAUCUGAGUCAGAGGAGAAAUUAAAAUAACUUCCAAAUCUAUUUGAUCAGCUGCCUUCCCUUUUGAUUCAUCCUGACCUGACCUGGGCAGUGAUGAGAUAUUUUAUUACCAACGUUUAGUAUUCAGAAACUAGAAUGUUUGAAGAAGCACAGCCCAGUAUCACUCUAGUAGCACCACAGUACUUGAACUCUUUACCAAUUAAGGACAGAAAGGGAAAUUGUUAGGUUAGCUCUGGUGCUUUGGUUUACAGGAACAUAACCCUUAACUGACACCUGACAUCAUGAUAUAUCCAUGCGUGCUCAGCUCUGGGUAGAGUUUCUGCAAUUGUGCACCCUAACGAAUGAACAAUAACUGAUCACUAGUCACUUUAUACUCCUUAACUAACUCUGGGCCAUACUUUAACUGGUGUGAGAGCUGAAAUUCAUUUUGUUACAUUCUGGGGAACACCCCUCUUGAUAGUGGGAAUAUUUGAACUCUCUUGGGGUAAAAAUAAUCUGUAUCUGUGCUAAAGAAAUGUGAAUAGCAUUUCAUUUUCAUUCGGCCAGAAGAUGCAGCAGCAUUUCUUUAGCACCUGCUGCAUCUUUGGCCGAAUGAAAAUGUCCUAGAUAGGACUGUGGGAAUGGGGGUUAAGGGUAUGUGGAAGAACCUUUGCAUUUAGGUUCCAUUUACAAAUAAGGGCAUGUCAGCCAGUUACUAACUCUGCUGGCUGUCAUGGGUUAUUUUGAAAAUUGGCAACUAGGCAUCUAAGAUGUUUACUGGCACAGGCCUUUUUUCUCCCCCAAGAUCCAUGACCUUGCUGUUAACCUGGAGGGCUUCAUGGAUGGAUGGCAGGGUCCUGCUGCUCAGUCUGUUAUUUCUCUGGCUGAAGAGGAGGCGUUCUGUGCCAAAAAGCAGUCCUUCAAGGCAAAUGGCUUCAUUCUUUGGCAAAUGAACGAGGUCUUGAUGUGGCGUACAGAUUUCCCUGGACACAGAUCAUGAUCACAAAUGGGAGAGACUGUGGGAUUCAGGCAUUUCAUUUCCUUUUUACGCCUUGUUUGUAUUUUCUCCUGUCUUAAUACACUAAGGAUACUUACUCAUUGUACUUGUAGCUCAAUGUGUCUUUGCUUUUCAGAGGCUAAAAUGUACCUCAGAAUCAUCAUGAACUUUGGGGUGGGUGGACAUUGGCAUAAUUGGUGAUGGGACUCAAAAUGAGAAGCUGGUCUCUACCAGGUCACAGACUGGAAUAUCAGUUUGAGCGUCGUUGGUUUGCAUGUACUACUUUGGAGCCUUGUAUUGAAACCUUUUUUUAAAAAUAAAA